CCUACGGGAGGCAGCAGUGGGGAAUAUUGCACAAUGGGGGAAACCCUGAUGCAGCGACGCCGCGUGGGUGAAGGAGCGUUUCGGCUUGUAAAGCCCUAUCAGCAGGGAAGAAGAUGACGGUACCUGACCAAGAAGCCCCGGCUAACUACGUGCCAGCAGCCGCGGUAAUACGUAGGGGGCAAGCGUUAUCCGGAUUUACUGGGUGUAAAGGGAGCGCAGACGGCAAGGCAAGUCAGGAGUGAAAUCCCGGGGCUUAACCCCGGGACUGCUUUUGGAACUGUAUGGCUGGAGUGCAGGAGAGGGAAGUGGAAUUCCUAGUGUAGCGGUGAAAUGCGUAGAUAUUAGGAGGAACACCGGUGGCGAAGGCGGCCUGCUGGACUGUGACUGACGUUGAGGCUCGAAAGCGUGGGGAGCAAACAGGAUUAGAUACCCGGGUAGUC
rnacentral:rRNA from 1 species